CAUGUUCGCCCCCUAAUAGUGUGUUGGUAUUAAGUGGUUGAAGUUAAGAAAUGUGCCACGUAUCCAGUGUCAUCACACACCGGCUAAACACGUGUAUAUACACACACACACACACACAUAUCUAGUUUCUGUCUACAAUAGAACUGAACUGAGAAGAAAUCUCACAGGAAAGGUGAAGUCAUUCCCCUGUGAUUCGGCCAGUCCGCGGCACACCUGCACGGUGACAUUCAAAAUGGCUUCCUCUGUUAUUUCUAGGUGACUCUGUGAAUUUCCUGGCAGAAUUCCAAAUCCCUGAGCUCCAGUUUGAAGCAGCAGGACGCCCAAAAUCACCAAAGCAGGUGACUUGUCCUUCCGGCCCAAAAUCACCAAAGCAGGUGACAUGUCUUUCUGGCCCAAACAGAAAAAGGUAAAAAGAAAAGCUGUGCUGUAUUCAUCUACAAGUCAGUGGUCCACUGUCACCUCAAUUUUUUUUCUUCUUUCAAUGAGUCAAAAGAGGAGUACACAAAAAGUGUGGCCGCUUAUUGGCUCAGGUAAAUGGUUUCUUGCAACACUGAGUAGUCUGUGGGAAAAGGCAAGGCCACACAGGACCAGUUCAACCUGUUGGCUGUGCUACGACAUCAGAUUAUGGUGACGCUGAUGAGCAUUUUGUCCUCUGUUUGGUCACAGUCUUGGAAUGGUAUUUAGAUCUGAUAAAUUAGGAACCUGAUAUCAGUGUGAUAAUUUUAUACUUUUUGGGGUUAGGUUAGGUUGGUCCAUCCCCCUGCGCCAUCUCCCGUCUCCAUUUCCCCAUUCCUGGCGGCGUGCCUGCUGGCCCCGCCGGUCAUAGUGGGCCACUUUCACUUUUCUAACCCUAACCCUCAUCUGUGUUUUAAUUUUCUUUUUUAAUUCCAAAUGAAUUGUAUAGAGUCGCCUUUGUUAUUUAUGUAAUAUUUUUUUCUUUUAGAUGUGCUAUUUAUUAAUAGGUAUGAAUUUGUAAUGUAUUUCUAAUCAUAACCAAAACCCACAAAAAAACAAAAAAAUCCCCCAAAAAUCUUUUUUUGUCGACCAAACGGUGUGCCUCGACAGCGUUUCAGCUCUAAGGAGCCUUCCUCAGGUCCUGGCACACCAAAUUCAAAAAAUAGAAUGCACAAUUAGGCGGUUUACUGUCCAAACAUCCAAACCAAACUGAGUCAAUAAAAACGUUCUUCCCUUUUAUACCCACUGUUUUUUGUCCUAUGUUUAAAAAGAUCUUUUAAAAGAAUAAUAUGUGCAAAGUGCUUGUGUGUGUUGUGCCACAUGUGAUUGUGUGUGCAUCCAGGGGUUGGUGCGUCCCAGUAGUAAAAGGAGCAUAAAGCUUAAGAUCAUGCCCAAGGUGAAGAGGGAGAAGGAAAAGCCCCACAAGCAGAAGUCAAACCGCUCGCUCUCAGGAAGACGGGAUGUUAAGUGUACGACUCCUGAAGCAGAAUCGCCAGGCAUCUGAUGAUCUUUUCCGGCCCCUAACCUUGACCGCCGCGAGUCAGGAGAUGCCGUCGUCUUAUCUGGCGGCACCCGCUGUCCUGAUUGUGGCGUAGGCGUGUCUACACGUUGCUUGCACGCAGCAGAGUACAGCCAACUUUUAGAAACGACACGACCGAAACCGCCUUCAGACUGAAAUGAGACUUUUCGGGGACACCUUGUUUCUACAUCAUGCAACCUUCAAUGACACCAGAAGCCGAUGUGCAGAAAUCUUGGAUGUUGAACAGAAAAGAAAAUCAUUGAAUGUAUUUGUGUGUUGAGCUGUUAAUAAUACUACUGAUAAUAAUACUGAUAAGGAUGUGCACAUGCAAGGUGCUCAAGUGGUUUUGACUUUGUUUGGCUUCUCGUGACCUCAACUAAAGAGGUCAUGGUGGUGGUUCAUGAUCAGCUGACUCUAGAUGUAAUGCACCAAUGUGAAUGUUUGCUUUGCCAGUAGUUCCCAAUUGUUCUUAUCGUCUUGCUCUCGUGGGUUUGCUGUCCAAUCCCCCACCGCCCCAAGGUCCCCCCAACCAUCCCCCCCGUGCGUUCAUAAACACGAUAGGAUCAAUCAAGAAAUCAAGUUGGCCAAAUGGGCAAAUUCUUCGUUUGCAUAAGCAUGUUUAGUCUAAGCUGAUGCUUGCUGUGAGGGGCAUACUAAAUGAUAGCGCGUGCAGGAACAUGCUCGUUUCCGCUCACGGUCGAGCAUCGCCAAGCUCCACUGUCGUCGGGUGCUGUUUCCGCAUCCAGUGUGCGCUGCUGCCUGUUUCCCUUCAAGGCUUUUGUGGUGUUGUGCCAAGUAGAGCGACACACUCCAGCGGUGUGUGCAAUGUGGCGUUCAUUUCAAGUUUACUGUGUCUGGGCUCGCACUUCACAGACUCCUUGAUGGGGGAAAUGUGCGUGUACACGCAUUUAGGACAAAUUAGGUUAGGUUAAGAUUAUGAAUUUUUAUUUGUGAUGAACUAUUAAAUAUGUAAUGUAAAAAUGCACGCCCAUCGAUGUGAUCCAUGGCUGUGGCGUUCCUGCUCCUGUGUCCACUGAUGCGGUGGGCCGUGUUACCAUGGUAACCACGUUAUCCAUUUGAAGCUUAAAGCCAAAGCUUAAGUAGACUCAUGAAUCACUUAUUGAUGAAGAUAAAAUGUUUGUGUACAAUGUGUCACUUUUUGAAAUUGUAUCAUCAACUUGUUCUGAACAUAUGAAUGAAAUGUGUAUAUGGGUUUUAAAAAGAAAGCUCAUGCAUAUUUAAUUGUAUCAAUGAUUGUUUGAAUGUAAUUUAAUGGGGUUAACAAUGAUUCCGCAAUGCUGGGUGUUUGCACGAGUGUGUGUGUGUGUGUGUUGCCAGUUGUUCCGUCAUGUAACAAAGAUAAGCUUUGGAAAUGAAAAUGACUUGAUGGUGUGAUAAAUGUGCGUCUGCUGCUGCUUCCAACGUGUCUUGACUUAAAAGUAAGUUUUAUUAAUACCUGCAUGUAAGUUUGUUCGGUUUGUAUGAAAAUGCUUGCCGCCGCUUCUCCCUACAUACAUUGUGACCAACAAAGCUGACACAAUAUGAAGUUGUCAUUUCUCUUAAUUGUCCAUCCAUCCAUUUUCUGAGCCGCUUCUCCUCACGGGGGUCGCGGGGGUGCUGGAGCCUAUCCCAGCUGUCAUCGGGCAGGAGGCGUGGUACACCCUGAACUGGUUGCCAGCCAAUCGCAGGGCACAUACAAACAAACAACCAUUCACACUCACACCUACGGGCAAUUUUAUAGAGUCUCUCUUAAUUAUUGAUUAAUGAAAUGUUUAGAGUGAGGAGCUAUAAAGGUGUUCUGUCAUAAACUGACUUUGGCUCU